CGCGGGGUGGAGCAGCCUGGUAGCUCGUCGGGCUCAUAACCCGAAGGUCGUCGGUUCAAAUCCGGCCCCCCGCAACCA
rnacentral:tRNA from 19 species